GGUUGGACGCUCAAUGCGCGGUUACCAGGCAACCAGCUACUCGGUUGGCGGUCAGGAAACGCAAUCAAUUCCCUAUCCCUAUAAAUAGGUUGUGGUAGCCAAAGAGAAAAGAGAACGUCUUACCUGUUUGGUUCCGGUUUUCCCCUGGGCACUCUGAAUACAUGUCCCGAGAAGCUGGACUGUUGCUGGCCCAAUGUAUGGUUUUGCCGAUGGGCUGAGAGCUGGUUCACACCAGGAGAAGUGGCCUGGCCUUCCUCUGUGCCCUGACUAAACCCGCCAGGGUUUGCAGGCAGCUGAUGAAGGGCAGAUGCAGAAACAGGAUCUGGGUCCCCUUCCCCAAUGAGCCACUCCCCAGAGCUGCCAAAGAGUGCUGCCACAAGCACUACAGUCACACAAAGCAGUACCCAGGGACAGUUUGGUUACUGCACCUGAUCCUGCCGGAGGAGAACCGCAGCUCUGAGACCAUGAGCAAAAGACAAGCUACUGAUGGGCCCCAAAGUGUCUGUCCAAGCUGUAGCCCAAGCAUCACACCCCGAUCUCCAGUCCUCCUAUUUCGCUGUCCUGUCUAUCAAGCCAACUGCGUGCCAAGAACCAGACAUUCUCUAGGAUACAUUUUAUAGUUACUCUGU